rnacentral:rRNA from 1 species
UACGGAGGGUGCAAGCGUUGCUCGGAAUUAUUGGGCGUAAAGGGUAGGUAGGUGGUCUUCUUUGUCUAGGGUGAAAUCCUUGGGCUUAACCCAAGAAGUGCCCUAGAAACGGGAAGACUGGAGUACUGGAGAGGGUCGUGGAAUUCCCGGUGUAGCGGUGAAAUGCGUAGAGAUCGGGAGGAACACCAGAGGCGAAGGCGGCGACCUGGACAGUGACUGACACUCAACUACGAAAGCGUGGGGAGCAAACAGG